rnacentral:rRNA from 1 species
UACGAAGGGGGGCUAGCGUUGUUCGGAAUUACUGGGCGUAAAGCGUUUGUAGGCGGUUAUUUAAGCCAGUGGUGAAAGCCCGGGGCUUAACCCCGGAAUUGCCAUUGGUACUGGGAUAGCUAGAGAAUGUUAGAGGAAAGUGGAAUUCCUAGUGUAGGAGUGAAAUCCGUAGAGAUUAGGAGGAAUAUCGAUGGCGAAGGCAGCUUUCUGGGACAUUUCUGACGCUGAGAAACGAAAGCGA